rnacentral:rRNA from 1 species
UACGAAGGGGGCUAGCGUUGUUCGGAAUUACUGGGCGUAAAGCGCGCGCAGGCGGCCAUUCAAGUCAGGGGUGAAAGCCCAGAGCUCAACUCUGGAACUGCCUUUGAAACUGUAUGGCUUGAGUAUGAGAGAGGUGAGUGGAAUUCCCAGUGUAGAGGUGAAAUUCGUAGAUAUUGGGAGGAACACCGGUGGCGAAGGCGGCCCCCUGGACCGGUACUGACGCUGAGGCGCGAAAGCGUGGGUAGCAAACAGG